rnacentral:rRNA from 1 species
CCUACGGGUGACAGCAGUGGGGAAUAUUGCACAAUGGGGGAAACCCUGAUGCAGCGACGCCGCGUGAAGGAAGAAGGAUUUCGGUAUAUAAACUUCUAUCAGCAGGGAAGAAAAUGACGGUACUUGACUAAGAAGCCCCGGCUAACUACGUGCCAGCAGCCGCGGUAAUACGUAGGGGGCAAGCGUUAUCCGGAUUUACUGGGUGUAAAGGGAGCGGAGGCGGUUUAGCAAGUCAGAAGUGAAAGCCCGGGGCUUAACUCCGGGACUGCUUUUGAAACUGGUGAACUAGAUUGCAGGAGAGGUAAGUGGAAUUCCUAGUGUAGCGGUGAAAUGCGUAGAUAUUAGGAGGAACACCAGUGGCGAAGGCGGCUUACUGGAC